rnacentral:rRNA from 1 species
UGCAGUCGAACGGUAACGCGGGGCAACCUGGCGACGAGUGGCGAACGGGUGAGUAAUGCAUCGGAACGUGCCCAGUGGUGGGGGAUAGCCCGGCGAAAGCCGGAUUAAUACCGCAUACGACCUACGGGUGAAAGCGGGGGACUCGAAAGAGCCUCGCGCUAUUGGAGCGGCCGAUGUCAGAUUAGCUAGUUGGUGGGGUAAAAGCCUACCAAGGCGACGAUCUGUAGCUGGUCUGAGAGGACGACCAGCCACACUGGGACUGAGACACGGCCCAGACUCCUACGGGAGGCAGCAGUGGGGAAUCUUGGACAAUGGGCGCAAGCCUGAUCCAGCCAUGCCGCGUGCGGGAAGAAGGCCUUCGGGUUGUAAACCGCUUUUGUCAGGGAAGAAACGCUCUGGGCUAAUACCCUGGGGUAAUGACGGUACCUGAAGAAUAAGCACCGGCUAACUACGUGCCAGCAGCCGCGGUAAUACGUAGGGUGCAAGCGUUAAUCGGAAUUACUGGGCGUAAAGUGUGCGCAGGCGGUUAUGCAAGACAGAUGUGAAAUCCCCGGGCUCAACCUGGGAACUGCAUUUGUGACUGUAUAGCUAGAGUACGGUAGAGGGGGAUGGAAUUCCGCGUGUAGCAGUGAAAUGCGUAGAUAUGCGGAGGAACACCGAUGGCGAAGGCAAUCCCCUGGACCUGUACUGACGCUCAUGCACGAAAGCGUGGGGAGCAAACAGGAUUAGAUACCCUGUAGUCCACGCCCUAACGAUGUCAACUGGUGUUGGACGGCUUGCUGUUCAGUAACGAAGCUAACGCGUGAAUUGAGCCUGGGGAGUACGGCCGCAAGGUUGAAACUCAAAGGAA